AACAAGCUAUCGUUACAAUACCUUAUAGCACCUUUCACUUUAUGCUACAACCCUCCUACGACAAUAACUAAUACUGCUUCUCGCUCCUGUACUCCAUUAUAUUGCUGCUCUUGUACUCGCGCAUUGCACCAUAUCAUUAUACUUGAUUACAAUAAACUCGAUUACCAUUCCUACAACCUUACUAAACUAAUAAACCCCAAUUGCAUAUUCCAGUGCAUGUCGCUAUCGAUUCAUCGCUCAUGUUACUUUCUUUUUACAGAUCAAGGUAACGAACCGCUUCUUUACCGAUCGCCAUGUUUACUUGUUGGUCUUUGAACGAUGGAAAAUGUCUUUCUGCAAAUAAUCAGUCAUCUUUUCACGCUUUUCUUUCUCUACUCAGUGUAUUAUAAGCGCUACCCUUUUAUUCAUUCUAACUAUCAAAGAAUUCCUUUUUCCUUUCCCCAAAAAACAACUACCAUUCGUAUGUACAGUCGUCUUAGUCUACUAUUGUAUGGUAUGUGGCAUACGCAGCCGUGGGUGCCAGCCAGCAACCAUACCAAGUCAAAAAUUUCUCUUAUAGCAAAUCAAUUCUUCAUUCAAUUCAAAUAAUGUAAAAAAAAACGCAUCUAUAGAAACAUACGAUGAAACUUUUUAAAUACAAACUAAUAAUGAAAAUACUCGCAGACUAACAAUGAAAAUACUCCAAAAUCUAAUAAAGAAUUAG